ACCGUGCGGAGGGGCUCGGCCGGGACUCUCGGCUUCGGUGACGCCCGUCCGGAGCUUCGCGGGAGGCCCGGAGUCCCGAGAGCUUCCCUGGGUGACAGCGGCUCUCCGCCCGGGCCCCUGCAACUCCACUCGCCCGUAGCCCGCGCGCUGCUGUCCUGGGCUGCGCGGGAGCCUUGCACCCAGGAGCCGGCCUGCCAGGCACAGCAGCCUGCCUGCUCCGGGUCCCGGAGGAAGCAUUCCCUGCGUGGGGGUUCAAGGAAGUGUGAAGUUAAGCAAGUUUUGCUUCCCGAAGGACUUUAUGAAGCGUCCUUUACUUUAUUGACUUCCUCGCCCAGAAAGAGGACCUUUUCUCCUAAGAAUCAGUGCAGGUGCUCUCUGGCCUAGCCCAUGCCAGCUGCCUCAGGCGCCCGGACCACUCGCUGGAGCAGAGUUUUGAGUGAGAAAAGCCGAUGACAAGGCAAGAGUGGAGAAUUAUUAACGGAGGUGCUGAUGCUUGGGGCCUAGAGCAUCCUUAGGGGACAGCUUGGUAGUUACCAGGUCUGAUAAUCGUUCUGUGCCCAAGUGGAGCCCAGCUUGGUAGGGAAGGAGCUUGGGAUACUUAAUGCAACCCGAGCGCUAGAUUGCAUCUCCAAUGAUUAGACUAAAGUGUUUGUGCGGAGGAAGUGGAGAAGCAGUGUCUUGCUCUUCAGAUACCACAUCUGUGGGAAGAGGAGGGAGUUCCUGCAGGAGUGAAUGGGCU
rnacentral:lncRNA from 1 species